rnacentral:pre_miRNA from 7 species
AUUUGAAUAGAUUGUGUUGAAAGACCCCCGAAGGGAGACCCUCACUCAAGCCUCGGGACAGCCGCAGACCCAAGAAGACACUGAGACCG